rnacentral:rRNA from 1 species
CCUAUAGGGUUGUAAAGCUCUUUUGUCCGGGACGAUAAUGACGGUACCGGAAGAAUAAGCCCCGGCUAACUUCGUGCCAGCAGCCGCGGUAAU